GUGUGUGCCAUCUGAUUGUAGCUAAGAUGAUCUGUUCCAUAGUCUUGCUGGGUGCUGAAGUCAGGCUGACAGGCUGUAGUUGCCUGGAUCUGAGUUCCAGCCCUUCUUGUGGACGGACAUCACACUGGCCAACCUUCAGUCAUCUCUGACAUCUCCAGACUUCCUUGAUUAGCCAGAACUGACUAAGAGGUCAGAGGUCCAGAGUCCAGAUUAAUGUGUGAUGGCAAGAGAUCUGAACAUACCAGGGGACAGCUUAAAUAUACCAAAACCUGGAGCUCCUGCCUGUGUGCUAUAGAGAUGGGGUCCCUUUCAGUAGGAUCCAUGCUGUGCUGGUGUAUCCUUGUCUCCAGCAGCAUAGCCAAGGCAGUCCUUGGAAGAGGAAAGUAAAGCUAACUCUACAGCAAUUUCUCUAGGUGCCAAUUUUCUGCAAACUUCUCAGCCUUCAUGAAUUAUAACUGAGGACCUGCAGAAAGUAUGGAGGCAAAGAAAAGGCUGAGAUGGCUAAGCAAGACUGUAAUGGUUCCUGUUGUAAUAACUGUCAUUUUUUUAAAAGCGCAGGUACAAUACUUGCUUCCUCUUACUUGUUUCCCUAGUGAUUGCAUUUAGCAAUCUGGGAAAAAUGAGCUGGACUGUAAUUUUUUUUUUUUCUUAAUGAUUUUUGUGUAAAAUUUUGUUCCAACUGGUACUUAAAUUCUUAGUUUACAGGUAUUUGAACAGUAUUGCAAACCUGUCUCUAGCUUUGCUGGGACUGAAACACCCAAUCCAGAUUUACAGACAACUCUUUUCUUGGGUUGUAUCAGAGACAAACUUACAAAGUAGUGCUGUAAGUACAAGGGCUUCUGUAUAGCUAAGAAACCCUUUGAAAUUAAGAGACCAAGGUUUUUCUAUCUGACAAAAGAAUUACACUGUGCUGUCUUGUCAUUUAUUUCAUCAAAAAUGACCGUAUGCUCAGGAAUAGUUAAUAAAGACCAAAUCAAGGGUACAACAUUUUGAGGAAUUGUUUUCCCAAUUUCUUUUUUCCAACCCAGAUUAUAUCUUAUAUUUGUAAAACCUGGGCUUUUGUCCCAAAACUUUAGAAAGUAUUUGAAAUUUUGUAGCCCAAGUGCUAAUGUUUGCUUCUGUUCAGAGCAGUCAACUUUUAGGGUUAAACAUAGCUUACUAACAUAUAUCUUGGGUGACAUUGAUGUACUUUCACUUGUAUUUUGUAUCCCAGCUGAAAGUAUUUUCAUUAUCUGGUUGCCUGUUUCUAUCUCUUCUUUUUCUUUCUCAUCUUUCUUUGACUGUACUUUGCUGUUGCCAGUCCAUUGUACAGUCUGUCCCUAUUAAAGAGACAAAAUGACUACAUUUUCAAACCACUUGCCUUCCUUCUUCCUAUUCUUCCUGUCCUGCAGUCUUGGAAAUUGUAUUGGAGUUAACAUGUCAAGCUAAGCCUUGUAAUCAAAAUCAGAAGAUAGAGAUAAGCUAUCAUUAGAGCCUGCAGUAAAAUUUUGUCAGAGAAACCAGUACUUCCUUUUACUUCACUACCUUCAAAGGCUUCACUGGAAUCCCUUUUUUUAGAGCAGGGAUUUAGGGGUUUUUUCUACUGGUCUGUGACUAGACAACAUUUAACUUUUGAAGUUGCUCUGAAUAAAAACAUGUAAUUUUUGAAGUUGCUUUGAAUAGAAAGGGAGAAGGUUUUUUUCUUUUUUUUUUCUUUUUUUUUCUACUGCAGGGAUUAAGAUGAGCUGAAAGAUACAUCUCUGCUGCACUUCAACACGUGGAAUAAUAGUGGCACAAUGUGGUCUUACACUUCUGAAAAUUAGUGUUACUUCCAGGGGAGUAUUAGGAGUUCCAAGAAUUUGGCAGGUUUACCACUGAAAAGGAAAGGACCCCUUGUGGUUCUGAGAAGCAACAGCAGCACAGCCUGAGCAUGGUUUUCACCACAUUCAGGACAACAGUCCAGGCACCAAAGCCAACCAUGUGCACAUUUGGAUGACCAGGUCACUACUUUCUGGAAAAAGCAGAGUCAAUAGACCUACACCUCUGUCAUUGAGUCAUGCCAGCUCUUGCAAGAUUCUCUUCCCUAUUACUCUACCAAGCAGACCCCUGAAGAGGCCAAAGUCUCCUCUCCUGGAGUCCAGCCUAGUGAGCUUCGUGUGUGUCCCCCUCACUCAAACUCCACCGUUUCAUGGUCACUACUUCCCAGGCUGUGCUUGAGCUUCGCCUUCCCUUCUUGUCAGCAAGAACAUGGUCCAGCAUAGCACCUCUGUCAUUGGUUCCUCUAUCAUUUGGAGAAGGAGGUUACUAUCAGUGCAUCACAGGAACCUCCUAGCUGUUCCUUCAACCAGUAUUGGGGUGGUUGAAGUCCCCCAUAAAGACUGGGGCUUGUGAAUGCCCUGGUGUGUUUGAAGCACCUGGGCAAAUACCAAAAUUUUAUCACUUCACAAAAUGAGAAAACACAUCCUAUUCCAGCAAUAACUCAGGAGUGUGUUAGCCAUCAAAACUUAUUUUAAAAUAACAUUCAGAUAACUUCAGUUCAGUGUUUAUAUUAAAACUGAACAAGCAGCUAUCUGUAUUGCUGUCUGUUUUCAAAAAUUUGAAACUGGGAAAGACAAUACAGAAGAUUCGUUAAAAGUAUUAGCAGUAAAAAGGGUAAAGAGGAUAAUCCAGAUGAUUAUUGGGCAGCAUCCAUGUGGGCAGAAAAUUACAACUAAUAUAUAAAGCUUUUAAAUCAGUAGAGGUAAUGUUUGUCAAUAUGAGUAUAGGAGAAACAGCUCUGACUACAAUUUUACUAAGACACUAACCAAAUAGUGUUUACAUGACAAUACUGUUAUAUGUAAUCUUUUGAUUUCUUGAAAACAUUCUGACUUACUGCUGCAUGACACUUUUUAUAUAUCAUAUAUAUAAAAUAUGAUAUAUCAUAUCAUAAAAAAAUUAUAUACCUGCUGAUUAGUAGAAACAUUGAGUAACUGGCAGCCAAAAACAGAGCACUAAAUGCAGGAUCCUAACUUAGCAAUUAUAUUAAUAUUUGGGUUAUUUUAAGAAUUAUUUUUUGGUAUAUGAUAUUUAAUGCUUGUUUUAAAUUACGUCAACAUUGUACAAAAUUAUUAAUGAUACUCACAGAUGACCCUAAAGAUCGGAGAUAUAAUAAACAACAACGAUAAGUCAUUAAUACAGACCAGAUGGCUUUAAUAAGUUGGGGGCAAACAGACAAGUGUUUUGUGGAUAAUUAUUAAAGUAAAACAUUUGUGAACAGAGAAAGCAGCAUGUCCUUUUUACUCUUAUUUUAUGACCUUUACAUUUAGUCUACCCGUCAAAUUCUAGCUCUUCAGAACAGACAAGACACCCAAAUAUGGAGCUACUGAAGACCAGUUGAACAAGUUGCCUCUGAUUUGUUGUUCUGGGUUUCCUUGUAUAUUUUGGUUCUGAUCAUCUCCAGAGUGUUCUGUUAUAAUACGUGCUUACGCAAUUUUAUUUUGGUAUCUCUGAGUAAUGCUAAAACAUCCCCGUGCUAUAAAUUGACUCCACUUUUGAAAUUUGAGCCAGUAUUUUUAAAUAUGCCUUAUACCUUACAUUCAUCAUCACUUCUGUUACCCUUUCUCUGUCUAGUAUAACCUUUUCACAUGUACAGCUGUAACAAAAAAGGGAAUGAAACCAUGUCUGGAGACAAUUCCCUUAGUCUAAUCAUCAGUCAUGUUAUUGCAAAGCUAAUGCUGCUGUUGCCUUUCUCAUCUCCAGAAACUUGUGUUUUGCUGGACCUAAGAAGAACUGAAAUGCUGGUUUUCUUCCUUUUUUUUUUCUGUUCACAAGUUAUUAUUUGGGGAUUUGGAGGAGGAAUGAAGAGAUGCAGAGAGAUUUGUCAAGAGAGGUAACAAUGAAUGGACUACUAAAUGAGGUGCUUUGGUCAAAAUGCCUUGUGUAAAUCUUGGCUAUGCUAAAAGAAACCCCUGGGGAUUGCAUGAACAGUACUAGUUAUAUGUGUGCACUGAAAAUUUCUUUUUUAUUUACUUUUGGUAGUUUAGGAUUCAAGAAUACUCAGUAUAAAGGAAAGGUUGAGAGAGGAAAGUCAUUGAUUCAUGUGGCAUGAUACAAGGAAGUUUUUCCUCUUUAUCAAACAGAACCAUGUAUAGACUGCAGUCCAAAAGUAUCUACAAUGAAAUAGAAACUUGAUACCUGGCUUCUCCAUCUAGUUGACAGAUAUAAAAGGAUCUGAUUGCUGAACAAAAUCAGACUGGUACAAUUUUGCCUAAAUAUAGAUCAGUUAACUAUUGAAAUGGUUUAAAGUAAAUUAUGAUGGGCUUUCCAUCUGUAGUUUUAAUCUCAAGAGAUAUCUGUCUUAAAAUGGGUAUUGUAGCUCAACUCAGCAAUAGUUCAGGACAGCACAGAGACUUCUGUGACAAAACAGAUCAGCGCAGUGGAUGGUCAAAGUGGAUGUUCUAGCCUUAUCUUUGAUGGGGAGCAAAGUUGUUUUGGUUCUUCCUUCAGCUCUCCUAUGGAUUUACUUCAUUAUCCAUUUUUUUUUGCCUGUGGAGGCUACCAUUUUUACUGGAACUUCAGGGCAGCUACAGCUGUUUAAGAAAGGACAUAAUCAGUUGUAAAUGGUGUAGUGUGAUAAGGAAUCCAGACGGCCUAAGAAUCUACUCAAAAGAUGUAAGAGUCCAUGGAAGAGACCCAGCCACACAUGGAAUUUUAGCACUCCUUUGUCCUGCUUAUUCCAGCUUCUCAGCAAUAGUCUUCUGCAUUAAUAGUUUAUCUGGUGAUUCUACAUCACUAUAUGGCUGUUGUCAUAUACAUCAUUCUGGAUUAUCAGUUCAAGAUCCUUUGGUAAGUCUUAUAUGCCUGUGUGAUUUUAAAUACAAUAAGGGUAUGUCCAUAUUGACACUUUUUUUUUAGCUUAUCCAAUACUUUCAACUUGUGUUUUGUCUUUUGUUUGUAAAGUGGUAUUUCUUCCUUUGAAUAAAAAGUACAGAAGUAAUUAGCAAGAUUACCUUAUCAUUAUUUACAGAAAGUCGGUUCCCUCUUUGUGCACAGAAAACUAAAAUUGUAUCCUUCCUUGGCUGAAAACUUCCUUUCUGCAAGCAAUAAAAGAUGCAAAUAUCCCUUACAGUGGCUAGUUAAGCUUUCUUGCAGCUUGGGGCAAAACCACAUUGGCAGAAGGACAAUGU